rnacentral:rRNA from 1 species
GACGAACGCUGGCGGCGCGCUUAACACAUGCAAGUCGCGCGAGGCGGCGGACGGGUGAUUAACACGUGAGUAACCUGCCUUAUACAUUGGGAUAGCCUCGGGAAACCGGGAUUAAUACCAAAUGGUCUAAGAUGGACUCUCGUCCCAUUAGCUAGUUGGGAGGUAACGGCCCACCAAGGCGACGAUGGGUAGCCGGGAUGGGAGGGUGAACGGCGACAUUGGAACGGAGAAUCGGUACAAACUCUUCGGGAGGCAGCAGUGGGGAAUAUUGCACAAUGGAGGGAACUCGGAUGCAGCGACGCCGCGUGAACGAAGAAGGCUUUCGAGUCGUAAAGUGCGUUUAUAUGGGAAGCGGUACCAUAAGAAAAAGCCCCGGCUAACUACGUGCCAGCAGCCGCGGUAAUUC